rnacentral:ncRNA from 1 species
AAAAUUAAAAAGUGUUUUAUGAGUAUUAUUGUUUUUUACAAUUGAUUAUGUGUCAAUCACUGUAUACAGAAAAGUUACCACAGGGAUAACUGGCUUGUGGCAGCCAAGCUUCCUAUCAUUGUGAAGCAGAAUUCACCAGAUUGGAUUGUUCAUCCACCAAUAGAGAACGUGAGCUGGGUCUAGGCCGUUGUGAGGCAGUUUUACCCUACUGUGAUGUGUUGUGCGAUAGUAAUCCUGCUUAGUAAUCCGGCCAAUGGUGCGGACUGAAUGCCUCUAAGUCCGAAUCCCGCCUAGACAUGGCAACGAUAAUUUUGCUCCUCGAUGUCGAGAGGCAAAUCUAUAUAGAUAUGUUUAUUGUGCAUAUCUAUAAUAUUAGCCCCAUUAGAUGGUAUUGCUAUACGUGUUGAAUAAAUUGCAUGUAUAGUUGCCAAAGCUGAAAAUCCGCUACCAAUUUCAGGGUGCAAAAUCACUUGUAGACGACAUUAAUAAAAUAUGAUCCGUUUGAACCUGUAAUUUUCGCUUU